AACGGCGAGUGAACAGGGAAAAGCCCAAAUUUGUAAUCUGGCACUUUUUACAAGUGUCCGAGUUGUAAUUUGUAGAGCUGUUAUCCGUACUGGACCAUGUACAAGUCUGUUGAAAAGCAGCAUCAUUGAAGGUGAAAAUCCUGUAGAUGAUAUGGACUACCAGUAUAUUUGUGAUACGGUUUCUAAGAGUCGAGUUGUUUGGGAAUGCAGCUCAAAGUGGGUGGUAAAUUCCAUCUAAGGCUAAAUAUAAGUGAGAGACCGAUAGCAAACAAGUACCGUGAGGGAAAGAUGAAAAGAACUUUGAAAAUAGAGUUAACAGUACGUGAAAUUGCUGAAAGGGAAACGUUUGAAGUUAGUUUUGUAUUCGUUGGAUCAGCUUCGCAAGGAGUGUAUUCUGAUGAUAAGCAAGUCAACAUCAGUCUAUGAGUGUUGGAUAAGGGUUUUGAGAAUGUAGCAAUUUAAUUGUGUUAUAGCUUGAGACUUGGAUACAAUGCUUUGGAUUGAGGAACGCGUAGUAAGCUUUGAGCGGAUUCGAAAGGAUCUCCUUACUAUGGAUGUUGGUGAAAUAACUUUAAGCGACCCGUCUUGAAACAC
rnacentral:rRNA from 1 species